rnacentral:rRNA from 1 species
GACGAAUGCUGGCUGCGUGCUUAACACAUGCAAGUCGAACGGUGAAGGAGGGCUUGCCCUCCGGAUCAGUGGCGAACGGGUGAGUGACACGUGGGCAACCUGCCCCUCACUCUGGGAUAACGCCGGGAAACCGGCGCUAAUACCGGAUACGACCAGGCGCGACAUCUCGCCUGGUGGAAAGAAUUUCGGUGAGGGAUGGGCCCGCGGCCUAUCAGCUAGUUGGUGGGGUAACGGCCCACCAAGGCGACGACGGGUAGCCGGCCUGAGAGGGCGACCGGCCACACUGGGACUGAGACACGGCCCAGACUCCUACGGGAGGCAGCAGUGGGGAAUAGUGCGCAAUGGGCGAAAGCCUGACGCAGCGACGCAGCGUGAGGGACGAAGGCCUUCGGGUUGUAAACCUCUUUCAGCGGGGACGAAGCGAAAGUGACGGUACCCGCAGAAGAAGCACCGGCUAACUACGUGCCAGCCGCCGCCGUAACAC